CAACAAACAGGAACGUGGCAGGCCACUGAUUGUCAUUUAUCAUCAUUAUAGUGGUUCAACAACAUGAUCCGAGA